rnacentral:rRNA from 1 species
UACGAAGGGGGCAAGCGUUGUUCGGAAUCACUGGGCGUAAAGGGCGCGUAGGCGGCUCUUCAAGUCAGGGGUGAAAUCCGGCAGCUCAACUGUCGAAGUGCCUUUGAUACUGAUGAGCUAGAGGGAGAUAGGGGUAUGCGGAACUUCCGGUGGAGCGGUGAAAUGCGUUGAUAUCGGAAGGAACGCCGGUGGCGAAAGCGGCGUACUGGAUCUCUUCUGACGCUGAGGCGCGAAAGCUAGGGGAGCAAACGGG